CACACCGCCCGUCACACCACGAAAGUGAGUUAUACCAGAAGCCGGUGCGCUAACCGCAAGGAGGCAGCCGUUCAAGGUAUGGCCCAUGAUUGGGGUG
rnacentral:rRNA from 1 species